GACGAACGCUGGCGGCGUGCUUAACACAUGCAAGUCGAACGGAAAGGCCCUGCUUUUGUGGGGUGCUCGAGUGGCGAACGGGUGAGUAACACGUGAGUAACCUGCCCUUGACUUUGGGAUAACUUCAGGAAACUGGGGCUAAUACCGGAUAGGAGCUCCUGCUGCAUGGUGGGGGUUGGAAAGUUUCGGCGGUUGGGGAUGGACUCGCGGCUUAUCAGCUUGUUGGUGGGGUAGUGGCUUAACAAGGCUUUGACGGGUAGCCGGCCUGAGAGGGUGACCGGCCACAUUGGGACUGAGAUACCGCCCAGACGCCUACGGGAGGCAGCAGUGGGGAAUAUUGCACAAUGGGCGGAAGCCUGAUGCAGCAACGCCGCGUGCGGGAUGACGGCCUUCGGGUUGUAAACCGCUUUCGCCUGUGACGAAGCGUGAGUGACGGUAAUGGGUAAAGAAGCACCGGCUAACUACGUG
rnacentral:rRNA from 1 species